rnacentral:lncRNA from 1 species
UUUGGGCAUAUUGCUUCCCAGUAUCCCAAUAGGCAUAUCAUGGUUGUCUUACCGAGUGGAGAUGUCGUCUCUGAUGACGAAGACAAGUUCGCCGAGAUGCCGCCAUUACUUGAUGAAGGUGAAGAUUCUGAAGUCAAGAUUGAGGCCACUAGCGAGCAAAUAGGCGUUGCCCUAGUAGCCCGCCGAACUCUUGCAACUCAAAUCAAGAGGGUGGAUGAGACCCAACUUGACAACAUUUUCUAUCCACGAUGUCACGUCAAGGGAAGAGUGUGUAGCCUCAUCAUU